rnacentral:rRNA from 1 species
CCUACGGGUGGCAGCAGUGGGGGAUAUUGCACAAUGGGGGGAACCCUGAUGCAGCGACGCCGCGUGGGUGAAGAAGCGCCUCGGCGCGUAAAGCCCUGUCAGCAGGGAAGAAAAUGACGGUACCUGAAGAAGAAGCCCCGGCUAACUACGUGCCAGCAGCCGCGGUAAUACGGAGGUGGCAGGCGUUGUCCGGAUUUACUGGGUGUAAAGGGCGUGCAGCCGGGAAGACAAGUCAGAUGUGAAAUCCCGCGGGUCAACCGCGGAACUGCAUUUGAAACUGGUUUUCUUGAGUACCGGUGAGGUAAUCGGAAUUCCUUGUGUAGCGGUGAAAUGCUUAGAUAUCACGAAGAACUCCGAUUGCGAAGGCAGUUUACUGAACUGCCACUGACACUGAGGCUCGAAAGUGUGGGUAUCAAACAGGAUUAGAUACCCCUGUAGUC